GUUGGUGUAGCUCAGUGGUAGAGUGCAUGCUUUGUAUGUGUGAUGUCCUGGGUUCAAUCCCCUGGUUCUCUC
rnacentral:tRNA from 1 species